CCGGAUUUGUGUUAUCGGAGCUGAAUUUAGGAAUGGAGGUAGAGAAAUCCAAGUAUAGGAGCGAAGAUUUGGAUGUGGUGGAGGAGGAGGCUGAUUUGAAGAAGAGUCGGCGAGAUCGUGAUCGGAGUAAUGAGCGGAAGAAGGAUAAGGGUUCAGAGAAGCGUCGAGAGAAGGAUAGGCGGAAGAAACGAGUUAAGAGUAGUGAUUCUGAAGAUGAUUACGAUAGAGAUGAUGAUGAAGAGAGGGAGAAGCGUAAGGAGAAGGAGAGGGAGCGGAGACGGAGGGAUAAGGAUAGGGUGAAGAGACGGUCUGAGAGAAGGAAGAGUAGUGAUUCUGAAGAUGACGUUGAAGAAGAGGAUGAGAGGGAUAAACGCAGAGUGAAUGAGAAGGAGAGAGGGCAUCGAGAACAUGAGAGAGAUAGAGGCAAAGAUAGGAAAAGGGAUAGAGAGAGG
rnacentral:lncRNA from 1 species